CUAGAAUCCUGCUGUGCCAGCAGAGCGAAGUAUAUAGGCAGUGGCAAGAAGAGCUUAGUGAUCUGUAGACGACAAAAGUGACGCACUUACUCUCCUCACUAGCGAUCUGCGAAGCACGAAACAUUUCUCCCUCUGGGUUCGCGGUGCGUCUAACCGGUGAGAUUGAUUGAGAUAAAGUCUGACUACUUUACUCGGUGGUUGGCCUUUAAAUGUGGCUGCAAGUAAUGGUGCCGGGCGAAUGUGGUUGGGGUGGCGUGCAAUAACGUACCGCAAUAAUAUAGUUUUAAUUUGUAGUGAACUCUUCACUGAAUGUUUAGCAUUACCUUCGGUUUUAUCAGUUGUUUCUCUGUUUUGAAUUUUCGUUUUACAUAUAAACUAUUUUAUAAACCUUGUAGAUUUUGAGUAAAAAAGCCAGCAUUUUUUAUAGCGUAAAAUCUUUUAGUCUUGCACUCAUUUCUAAUUUUCACAAAGUACAAUUUCGUGGUCAUAUCAUAUGAAUGCACUCAUUUUUUUUUUUUAAUUCCACUUU